rnacentral:lncRNA from 1 species
UGUCCGUCCUGUGUCCAUCUGUCCGUGUGUCCGUGCCGAGCGUCUGUCUGUCCCGUGUCCAUCUGUCCGUGUGUCUGUGUCCAUCCCGUGUGUCCAUGCCGUGUGUCUGUGUGUCUGUCCUGUGUCCGUGCCGAGUGUCUGUCUGUCCCGUGUGUCCGUCCCGUGUGUCCGUGUGUCCGUCCCGUGUCCAUCUGUCCGUCUGUCUGUCCCUCAUUUCCAGAAGAGCACGUUCCAGAGCAGCAGCCAGCAGGGGUAGGCCCCCAGGGUGAGGAGGGGGCUCAGGUGGGCUCCGUGCAGGUGCUCCUGGAGCAGCCCCUGGCCCAGAGCCCCCAGGAAUCGCUGCCAGGCCUCGCCCAGACCCGCCGGGGCCUCCAGCAGCUCCCGCUCCAGCAGCACCGCCAGGAACAGCGAGACCCCCGGGGACGUCAGCAACAGCAGCACCGCCAGGGGGAACCUGGGGUGGGGAGGGGGUGUCAGAGACCCCCAGGUGUCCCCAGGUGUGUCUGUCACCUGCCCCGGGUGUGGCCCCAGGUGUGUCUCACCUGUCCCCAGGUGUGUCU